rnacentral:rRNA from 1 species
CACAACCUCAGCCAUGUAUAAUAGGAAAAGAAAUAAAAGUUGUAACUUCAUCUGCUGAAUUUUCUGCGCUAGAAGAGAUAAGACCAUGGGCACAAGGACGAGAGAGCACACAGAACUUCUGCCACAUAUAGUACGAAAACAAAUAAAAAUUGUAACUUCACCCGCUGAAUUUUCUGCACUAGAAGAGAUAACACCAUGGACACCACAGAGCUGUGCAUCUUGCUAUGUUAAACCAGAAAAAGAGAGCACACGUACACAAUUAAGGGAAAAGAGGAAGGAAGCUAGCCAUAGAGAUGGCGGCUGAGGCGCUGGUGAGCGUCUCCACAGGGGUGAUGAACUCUGUCUUAGAGAAGCUAGCCACUUUAAUGGGGGAGGAGUACACAAAGCACAAGAGCAUGCAGCGAGAGGUGGCGUUUCUCAAGGAUGAGCUCAGCAGCAUCGAUGCAGUCCUCAAGAAGCUCGAGAACAUGGAAGAGGAACUGGAUCCACAGACCAGGGAGUGGAAGAACCAGGUGAUGGAAAUGGCGUUCCACAUCGAGGACUGCAUCGACGACUUUAUGCACGAAUCUGGUGAGGAUUCUAACAGAGGAGGUGUUGGCUUUGUUGGCAAAAUUGCUCAGUACAUCAACGCGUUGAGGACGCGUCACCAAUUCGCCAACCAAAUCCAGCAGCUGAAGACGUGGGUCAAAGAUGUGAGCGAACGUCGGAAAAGGAUGAUCACAAAACUUAAGAUGCCAGAACCAACCCACACCGACGAGGUACAAGAUCUCAUUGACAGCAUCAGAGAAUAUAUAAGAGAAAAAAAGGUACUUUUUCAUCAUUGAUGAUAUAUGGGACGAAUCAGUAUGGGAAAUUAUCCGUUGUGCAUUUCCAGAUAACCAACGAGGUAGCAAGGUAAUCACAACCACGAGAAUUGAGACAGUAGCUAAUGCAACCUGCAACUAUCGGCGUGAAUUCAUUUACAAGAUGAGUCCUCUUGAUGACCAAAACUCAAGAAAAUUAUUUUUCAGUAGAGUUGGACAGAUUGAUCUUCAGCCAUUAGAUGAGAUUUCGAAUGAAAUUCUACAAAAAUGUGGUGGUCUCCCGCUUGCUAUUGUCAGUAUUGCUAGUCUUUUUGCCGGUCAACCAACUAGAUCAGUGUCACAAUGGAAGCAUGUGUGCAAUUCUUUAAGCUCAAAUAUGAGAACAAAUCCAAGUUUGGAGGGCAUGAGACAGGUACUGAACCUUAGCUACAACAAUCUUCCUCAUCGUCUGAAAACUUGUUUGUUGUAUAUUGCCAUGUACCCAGAGGAUUACAUUAUUGCAAAGAAUGAUCUUGGAAGGCAAUGGGUGGCUGAAGGUUUCAUCGGCAAAAUACAUGGCAAGGAUGCAAAUGAGGUCGCUGAAAGUUGCUUUAAUGAGCUUGUCAAUAUGAACAUGAUCCAACCUACUCCCUCCGUUCGGAAAUUCUUGUCUUAGAAAUGGUUGUAUCUAGAACUAAAACAAGUCUAGAUACAACCAUUUUAAGACAAGUAUUUCCGAACAGAGGGAGUACACACAUUGGGUACGCUGGACAGGUCAUAGCAUGUAAAGUUCAUGAUAUGAUUCUCGAUCUAAUCAGACUCAUGUCGGAAGAAGAGAAGUUUCUUAGUGUGGUAGAUAACCUACAGGGCAUGAUCUCAGCAUUGCAGAGCAGGGUUCGUCGAAUGUCCCUUCAGUUGGAUUCUGGAGCUAAUGAAGGCACAGUACAAGCAAGCUUAAGCAUGCCACAUAUUCGAUCUCUUGCUCUUUUUGGCAAGUCUCGUUUCAAGUUCUCUAUGUAUGAACUCAAGUCCAUCCGAGUUCUGAAUAUGCAUUGUGAGGGUGGUCGCAUGGCUGAUAGGAUUGACCUCACACCAAUCUGUAAAUUGUUUCACCUCAGAUAUUUGAGCAUCAAUUCGAAAAAAAAGAAGAAAAAUAUGAGCAUCAGCAGCCCGAAUGAACAGAUACCAAUCCUUAUCCUGCCAACCCUAAUUGGGGACCUAAAACAUUUGGAGACUUUGGAAUUGCAUAUGGAUAUUACUGCCAUGCCAUGUGAUAUCAUUGAUUUGCCUUCCUUGUUGAAUCUACAUGUUCCUAUGGGAACAAGGCUACCUGAUGGAAUUCGUACGAUGAAGGCCCUACGUACUCUGGUGAACUUUGAUGUGCACAUGAACUUGGUGGAUAAUUUAACAGGUCUCGGUGAACUUACAAAUCUCAGGUAUCUUGAAUUUUGCUGCGAUAAUGCUGAACGUACCACCAGCCAACGGGGAAUUCUUAUGGAUACUUUCUGGUGUUCUGUGGCCAAACUUAUCAGGUGCAAUCUGAGACAUCUUUGGUCCAGUAGUAACAUAUUUUGUCCUCCAUGUGUUGAGUUGGCUUCUCUGGUCACUAGCAAUACUGAGAGUAAUCUUGUGGAACUCCAUGUUGCAGCAACUUGGACGUUUCCGAGGGUUCCAAUUUGGACCGGUCAGCACCGAAAGCUCUCAAAGUUGGGAAUUGCUGUUGAGAAGGUGAUGCAGGAGGACAUUGAUUUGCUCGGAAUGUUACCUAAUUUCCUGCACCUGUGGUUGUGGAUACGAAAAUUCCCGGAAAUAAGGAUUACCAUCCAUGGUGGUGAGGUGACAUUCCAGCUUCUCAAAUAUUUCAGAAUCACGUGCUUUGCCCCGUGCCUAACCUUUAUGGCAGGGGCAAUGCCCAAACUCCAAAAGUUGGAUCUGCAAACGCAUGAGCAUGGGGUGGAGCGUCAUGGCCCCUCGACAAUUGAGGGCGUGGAGCACCUGCUGACACUCAGGCAAGUCGACAUUGAUAUUUACUUUGAGGGAGCUGAUACAGAGUCACAAAGAAGGGCGGCGGACGCCGAGGCUAUCUUAAGGAAAGCCAUCCACGUCCAUCCAGGACAUCCGAGCAUCAAGAGCAGGCUUCAAAGUAACAGAAGCUCUUUUAUUCCGGUGGCAGUUCUGAGGGGGGCGAUGAGGUGGAGAGGCAACCGGACGAUGCAGUUGAUCGAUCUGCCGAGGCAGCCACACAUGCUCCAUCCACCGUUGCUGAUGGACGAACAGGGAAUUCACAGCAGGGGCCGGAGCCGCACAAAACCAACAUGCAUGGAAUAGUGCUCAAGCUCUCCACAGAUUUCGCACUACACAUCCGAUCCAAGGAUUCAUUUCAAGUGUGGACCAUUUCGAUGGUAGGAUAGAGACCGAUGCUGUGGCGUUUACCUGAUCCUCUGCUUCUGUUAUGACCAGCGGUGGUGUAGAGGCACGCCAGCACUGACCUGAAGAAGCUGAAGAGAAAACAGAGCAUUGGGUAACAGCACCACGGCGGCCUAAUCUGGUCAUUAAAAGAGUAUUAGGUAGACGGGGUAGUUUGACAAAUUAGUUCUGGACGCAAUACCCCUGUAAAUUAGUACAGGCCUAGUGUGAAGAACUGUUCUAUUUAUUUUUUACAAGAGUGUAAUAUUACUGAACUGCCAAGCAGUACUUAUUAGUGCACAGCAUGAUACAGGGUAAAUAACUUGGUAAAUUUUUGUCUGGGAAAUUCAAUCGUGCGUCUUCCGCGCCUGG